rnacentral:tRNA from 1 species
AGAGUAAUGGCGAAAGGAAAAAUAAAAGUGGACAAGGCACCUGCCCGGUAAGCAGAAGGUUGUGGGUUCGAUUCCCGCCCCUGGACACUUUUAUUUUU